GCGGUGGUGGCCCCUGGAAAGCCGUUUGGUUCCAAUGCAGCCACUCCCACCGGCCGGGUGCAGGUCAGGGGGACCGGCCUCCGGCGCACCGUGAGCUCGGCGUCCUUUUAAAACACGAGCGAACCCCCGCACCGGCCCUGCCUGACCUCACGCGCCCGUCUUUGGCGGGAACGGCGGCGGAGAAGGGUGAGCGCGGGAGUCGAGGACGGCAAGCCGAGACCGGGGCCGCGCCGGCCUCCCUGGACGCCCGCGGUGGGCCGGUCCAGCGCCCGAGUCUCCACGGCGACCGGGAAGCGUGGAGGGGCGGGGUGGGGCGCGCGCGGCCGGCGGUUCCCGCGGGAUUUGGCGCCCUUUCCUUCCGCGCGUGGGGCGACCCGGGCGGCGGCCCUGCCUCGAGGCCCGAGGGCAGGCCGCGCACGGUGGACGGCGUCGCCGGGCCCGCAGCGCCUGCUCUUGUCUUGGUUCCGAAACGCUUUUUUCCAGGAUGAGUACUUGCAUUGAAUGAGCUUUAAAAGCUGCAUGGAUUUAUGUGUGGUUAUCAAUCACAAUGAAAAUCAAAGACUGCCUCCUUAAAAAGCGAAGAAUACCAGCUUGGAGUCUGACAUUUCAUCUUGUUGACAACUGUCCAUUGAGAUGACAACCCGCCACGCCACCUACAUGUCCCCUUCCAGUGUUUGCCAGUUCACAGUCACAAAGUGCUUACCUCUACAUAUAACCUCCUACAUUCGUGAACUAGGUUUAUAGAAGAGUUUCUGGCUGGAGGACAAAGGACACUCAACAGAAGCAAUUAAAGGAGCUGAAAGCAGAUUCAUUGAUGGGAACAACUCAAGAGGCAGUGUGUCCUAUUGUCCUUCGUUCUCAGGGCACUUUGCAGUAAUAUGUGAAUUCUCCGUCAUCUCAGAAAGGAGUCCACUCCGAGGACAGCACCCAGCACCACCAGCCCACCAGCCCACACGCAGUGACAGAGGAGCUGGAGAACAGCUCAUCAGCAUGUCUCCGUGAUCGUCUGCUGAACACCUGAAGACAGCCAUGAG